rnacentral:lncRNA from 1 species
AUACUAAAAGGAUUUGUCUUAUUGCAGCUAUCCAAGAAUCAAAGAAGAGGUACCACUCCUGGUUAACAAAAGAGAGGCAACUAAGGCACAGCCUCCUCAACACAAAUGUCCAACUAUAUCUUACAGAAAGUAUAGAAUGACACGUAGAAAAUACUAGAAAAAACUAAGACAAAACCACAUAAAGAAACUUAAAUGGACCCUAAGGAAACAAAAGGUCUAUAGAAGAAUAACACAGCUGGAUCGUGAUAAAGUUGUGACGAUACUUGGCAAUAUAGAGAUUCCACCCUUUAUGAAAGAACUUUUACAAAAAGGCUCGGCGUACGCCCCUUUACAGCUAGCUCCCACAGUCGACGAUGACGUCCCAAUGGUCGAAGAAUUGCUGAGAAACGUAGAUGAACCUGAGAACAGUAAACAUAGAUAUAGAUGGAAUUACAUUAGAGACACUUUAAAAGAAAGUUCCAAUAGAGAAACAAGGAAAGUACUCACGAAGUGGCCCUCAUCAGAAAGACCAUAGCAUGGGCCAAUGAGAAUAACUUAAUAUUUACAAGAGAGGAUAAAACGAAAAGGUC